UACGUAGGUCCCGAGCGUUGUCCGGAUUUAUUGGGCGUAAAGCGCGCGUAGGCGGUUUCUUAAGUCUGAUGUGAAAGCCCACGGCUCAACCGUGGAGGGUCAUUGGAAACUGGGAAACUUGAGUGCAGAAGAGGAGAGUGGAAUUCCAUGUGUAGCGGUGAAAUGCGCAGAGAUAUGGAGGAACACCAGUGGCGAAGGCGGCUCUCUGGUCUGUAACUGACGCUGAUGUGCGAAAGCGUGGGGAUCAAACAGG
rnacentral:rRNA from 1 species